AUAGCCUGAGGACGCACUGGUGGAUUUAUGUAUUAGGUGUAACCUUAAUAAACACCCCACCAGCGCAGAAACACGUGUAGUGUUGAUUAAAAAUAUAUUUUUUCACCACAGACUAAUAACGGCCAUUUGACUGAACCCGGAGCCAUGUGUUUGGUUAGCAAGCUACUUACCACACAGCCACUCGGCCACUCCUGCGCCUAUGCAACGAUUAACAAUAUAUAUCAGGAUGAGCUACCAUUAUUCGUUUGCCGAACAAGCAAGAAAGACAACUUCGAACACUUGUCGAUCCUCACCGAGUAGACGCUCCAACUAUGACGAUAACAUUCUACACGUGUCCUGUGUCACCAACCCCAAUGUGUCCUCCUGUUUUUUAUAAGACAAUAUGGCUUGGCAUGUGGUGACCACAUAAAAGCUAUCUCUGCUGCCUCGCUGCGACUCCUUUUCCUGCUGUUGUUAUUGUUGAACUUCACGUCUGCUCUGAUUCAGCAUACCUGUGUUCAAAGGUGUGUCAGACAUUACCUUUUCGUCUUCUUUACAAAUAGUGUGUAUGAAAAUUACAAUACCCAAUGAACACUUCCUCAUCAAAACUGCAGGGUAUGGUUUCAAGAAGGUUUGGCUGUUAUUUCAGAAGAAACGUAUAACACGGAAGAUUCCUGUUGAAAAAUAAAUUCAUGUUCAAGUGGGAGAUAUAUCUACGAGUGGGUGCUAAAAUGUUCCUGGUUCUAAGGGUGUCGCGAAAGGCCUGGUUGGAAGCUCAACCUUUCAAGUUCUUUUACAGGUUUAGAAAAACUGAAGGACCGCUGCAAUAAGUGUGUGAAUCUGAGAGGGGAAUAU